GCAGAGACAAGCUACAAAAUUAAUAAAAGGAAUGGAGUAUUUUAGUUAUGAAGAAACAUUAAAAAAUGUAAAUCAGUUUAGUUUGGAAAGACGGUGCCUGAGAGGGGAUAUGAUAACAUUAUACAAAUAUAUUCGGGGCCAGUACAAACCUUUAUCUGGAAAUCUAUUCAUAAACAGGGCUAUACAUAGGACACGAGGUCAC